rnacentral:rRNA from 1 species
GAUGAACGCUGGCGGCGUGCCUAAUACAUACAAGUCGAGCGAACGGACGAGAAGCUUGCUUCUCUGAUGUUAGCGGCGGACGGGUGAGUAACACGUGGAUAACCUACCUAUAAGACUGGGAUAACUUCGGGAAACCGUAGCUAAUACCGGAUAAUAUUUUGAACCGCAUGGUUCAAAAGUGAAAGACGGUCUUGCUGUCACUAAUAGAUGGAUCCGCGCUGCAUUAGCUAGUUGGUAAGGUAACGGCUUACCAAGGCAACGAUGCAUAGCCGACCUGAGAGGGUGAUCGGCCACACGGGAACGGAGACACGGUCCAGACUCCUACGGGAGGCAGCAGUAGGGAAUCUUCCGCAAUGGGCGAAAGCCUGACGGAGCAACGCCGCGUGAGUGAUGAAGGUCUUCGGAUCGUAAAACUCUGUUAUUAGGGAAGAACAUAUGUGUAAGUAACUGUGCACAUCUUGACGGUACCUAAUCAGAAAGCCACGGCUAACUACGUG